ACGAAGGUGGCAAGCGUUACUCGGAAUUACUAGGCGUAAAGGGCAGGUAGGUGGUUCGGUAAGUCUGUUGUGUAAGCUCCUGGCUUAACUGGGAGAGGUCAACGGAAACUGCCGAGCUUGAGUAUAGGAGAGGGUACUGGAAUUCCCGGUGUAGCGGUGAAAUGCGCAGAGAUCGGGAGGAACACCAAUGGCGAAAGCAGGUACCUGGACUAUUACUGACACUCAGCUGCGAAAGCUAGGGGAGCAAACAG
rnacentral:rRNA from 1 species